AUGCUCUCCCAGCUCUCCACCGCCCUGGUGACUUCCUCACGCUGGGGCCACCGGCCUUUCUGGUUCCCCUUCGGCAAAUACACUCCAGUCCCCCAGAGACCGAUUUCCACGGAAACCAUGGCCACAGGGCGCCUUCUAGAGAGGCUGUCUGUCGAGCAGGGUGUGGCAGAAAGGAGGCACAGUCUCAGGAUGACGUUAGAAAUGGGAACAAGACACAGAGACAGCAGAAGAGCCCGUGAACAUGCCAAGUGUUUGAGAACAUUUCUAUUGGUGGAGGGACAGACCUCAGAAAGAUCAGGAGGCCAGACACAGAGCACCUGCUGUGUGCCAGGCUUGAGGCAAAGUGCUGGAGGGGUCGGGGGUCAGAUGGCACCUUGUCUCCAGGGCGUUUGCAGCCUCUCAGUGCACAGAGAAUCACACCAAACAAGAGCACAGCAAAGAACGGAGCAUACGGGCGCACGUCACCAGGGAAAACCAUCCUGUACUGAGCUGGAAACGGUCACGAGAGAUGACGUCUCGACAAGCAGAAACAGUGACCUACGGGCAUCAGAAAAGCGUCAGAAAAAUCCAGAAAAGGCACCCGCAGCGCUACCUCUAGGAAAAACAAGGGCGACCUUCGGCUCAUCUUUCCUUUGUACUUGUUAAGUGUAGACCCACUUGUACAAAAGCAAUUACUCUCCGUCCUGGGUUUCUCGUCCACUUACCAGUUUCUACCUCAGGUCUAUCCCCAUGUUUCUAAGUAGAAUUUUAAUCAUGACAAAACACCCUUUCAGGUGGCUGCUUCACAAUUUCCCUAAAGGCAUUGAAAUUGUUACACUUUUUCCAAAAAUAAAAUGAGUCACUGUCAUCA
ensembl:lncRNA